rnacentral:miRNA from 1 species
UCGGAGUAUGGGUUGCGAUGG